CACCAAAUCAAAACCCUACUCUCUCUCUCUCUCUCUCUCUCUAACUAUAUAUACUGGCAUAUGCUUGUUGAUUUGAAUUUGGAUCAUGCAAUUUGAUUAGGGUUUAGUUUAGGAGUCGGAAAUGGGGAUUUUUUCUGUGUGAAAGGAAGAUAAAUCUAGAUUACAGGUUUGAAUUUACAGGAAAUAAUGGGAAGGAAAAAUGCACACAUUACGUCUGGAAAUGUUUUGUUAUUACAAGUCUUAAUAUGUGAAAUAAGUUUUUUAGAAGUGUGACGGAGUGAGAUUUUUGAUAUGGUGUUUCAUUAUUCUUAUGAAAAUUCAGAGGGAGAGGAAAGAAAGAUUGGGCUUUGAGUUGAUUUCUUGUUCAUUUGCUUUAUCUUGAUGGCUGGGUUAUGGUUCAUGAAGUUGUGAUGCAGUUUCCAUUAUAUUUGACCGAUUAUGGAAAGAUAGAUAGGCGGAAAAUGUUCGUUGACAGCAGAGUGUCCUUCUUCUACCACAUUUAAGUAAAUACAGAAGAGGAAAUGCACCUCUCUUCUUCAUUCCUAGGUUAGGUUGUGAUCUCUUGUUUUAGAGGUUUGUACAGUUUUGGGGAUGUGUCUUGAGGUGUCAUCAGUUGGAUUUUCUUUCUUUCGUGCUUUUAACUUCCAUCUUUCACUUUCUUCUUGCUUUCCUAUUUCCUAGACUUGUCAUUAUUGUGAUUCUUACCGAGGUUGUAGCCUUGCCUAUAAUCUCAAAAUUCACUGCAAUGGAAGCUUUACCCCUUUCUUUGAAUA